rfam:Gossypium hirsutum cultivar TM-1 chromosome 11, whole genome shotgun sequence
AACCCAUGGUGAGGGCACAAUCUCAAUAAAUCCUUGUAUCUCUCCCGUGCAUCAUAUAAGACCUCUAAGUCGAUCUAAACGAAUGAAGAGAUAUCAUUCCUAAACUU